UCGGGAAUUUUGGGCAAUGGGGGCAACCCUGAUCCAGCAAUGCCGCGUGUGUGAAGAAGGCCUGCGGGUUGUAAAGCACUUUCAGUAGAGAAGAAAAGCCUAAGGUUAACAACCUUGAGUCUUGACGUAACCUACAGAAGAAGCACCGGCUAACUCCGUGCCAGCAGCCGCGGUAAUACGGAGGGUGCAAGCGUUAAUCGGAAUUACUGGGCGUAAAGCGCACGUAGGUGGUUUUGUAAGUCGGAUGUGAAAGCCCUGGGCUCAACCUGGGAAUUGCAUUCGAUACUGCUUGACUAGAGUAUGGUAGAGGGAAGUGGAAUUUCCGGUGUAGCGGUGAAAUGCGUAGAUAUCGGAAGGAACACCAGUGGCGAAGGCGACUUCCUGGGCCAAUACUGACACUGAGGUGCGAAAGCGUGGGUAGCAAACAGGAUUAGAUACCCCGGUAGUCCCUGAGCGGGCUGGCAAGGCGCAU
rnacentral:rRNA from 1 species